rnacentral:tRNA from 1 species
GGUGAAGUGGCUUUGAGGUUAAGAGCACUGGCCGCUCUUCCAGAGGACCUGGGUUCGAUUCCCAGACACCA